rnacentral:rRNA from 1 species
AACGAACGCUGGCGGCAUGCCUAACACAUGCAAGUCGAACGAGACCUUCGGUUCUAGUGGCGCACGGGUGCUUAACGCGUGGGAACCUGCCCUUAGGUUCGUAUUAACUCCCCGAAAGUGGUGCUAAUACCGGAUAAUGUCUUCGGCCCAAAGAUUUAUCGCCUUUGGAUGGGCCCGUGUUGGAUUAGCUAGUUGGUAGGGUAAAAGCCUACCAAGGCGACGAUCCAUAGCUGGUCUGAGAGGAUGAUCAGCCACACUGGGACUGAGACACGGCCCAGACUCCUACGGGAGGCAGCAGUGGGGAAUAUUGGACAAUGGGCGAAAGCCUGAUCCAGCAAUGCCGCGUGAGUGAUGAAGGCCUUAGGGUUGUAAAGCUCUUUUACCCGGGAUGAUAAUGACAGUACCGGGAGAAUAAGCUCCGGCUAACUCCGUG